CCUACGGGAGGCAGCAGUAGGGAAUAUUGCUCAAUGGGGGAAACCCUGAAGCAGCAACGCCGCGUGGAGGAUGAAGGUUUUCGGAUUGUAAACUCCUUUUGUUAGAGAAGAUAAUGACGGUAUCUAACGAAUAAGCACCGGCUAACUCCGUGCCAGCAGCCGCGGUAAUACGGAGGGUGCAAGCGUUACUCGGAAUCACUGGGCGUAAAGAGCGCGUAGGCGGGAUAGCAAGUCAGAUGUGAAAUCCUAUGGCUUAACCAUCGAACUGCAUUUGAAACUGUUAUUCUAGAGGAUGGGAGAGGUAGGUGGAAUGCUUGGUUGAGGGGGAAAAUCCGUAGAGAUCAAGAGGAAAACUCAUU
rnacentral:rRNA from 1 species